CAGCAGCCGCGGUAAUACAUAGGAUGCAAGCGUUAUCCAGAAUGAUUGGGCGUAAAGGGCUCACAGGCGGUUUCUUAAGUCUGAUGUGAAAGCCCCCGGCUCAACCGGGGAGGGUCAUUGGAAACUGGGAAACUUGAGUGCAGAAGAGGAGAGUGGAAUUCCACGUGUAGCGGUGAAAUGCGUAGAGAUGUGGAGGAACGCCAGUGGCGAAGGCGACUCUCUGGUCUGUAACUGACGCUGAGGAGCGAAAGCGUGGGGAGCGAACAGGAUUAGAUACCCGGGUAGUCCCUGUCUCUUAUAC
rnacentral:rRNA from 1 species